rnacentral:lncRNA from 1 species
CAGUAAUUGGCCAUGAUGCUUUUUUCGCCCACAGGACUCUUACAAGUUAUAGUUCAAAACUAAAGAUGCAGGUCACUUCAGAGGUCCACAGUUUUUCUCUUUCUGUUCAAAAACAUGGAGGUGUGACUACCAUAAGAAUUUUGAACACUUUGUAAGACAUCAUUUAUGCACCUAUAUUACUAUUAUUAGCAGUUGAGUUUCCUUCUCAUCUUCAGCAGAGAUUGGUUUUUAAAAAAGUGAAACAAAAUAGCUACAAAGCCUGGAUUCUAGCAAGUCUCUUCC